rnacentral:misc_RNA from 1 species
AACGCACAUUGCGCUCCCUGGUAUUCCGGGGAGCAUGCCCGUUUCAGAAUCAUUUAAUCAUCUCACAACCCUGUUGGGAAGUGGAUGUUGGAUGUGCUGUUUGCAUUCUUCUGUUCUCAGGAGAAUCCAAUCAUCUGAAAAUGAGAGUACGUAGUCAUGGCUCCUUGGUGGGCUGGCUGACUUGGUGCAACAGAUUUCAUACAUCUUUACGCCAAGCAGGCUUGCUUUACUAGAACCACGAUUCUUGGCGUACCCCCAAGCUUACACAGUCUGGCUCAUGCUGGUCUGAUAACUUGGUCUGAAAUCGGGCAAGAAAACCCGCUGAACUUAA